rnacentral:lncRNA from 1 species
CACCAGACCACAAACGUGGAUGGAGUUUCACUCUUAUGGCCCAGGCUGGAGUGCAAUGGCGUGAUCUCAGCUCACCACAACCUCUGCCUCCCGGGUUCAAGUGGUUCUCCUACCUCAGCCUCCUGAGUAGCUGCGAUUACAGAUACAUAGCUCUGGCCAAGAAGUGUGGUUUUGAAGAGCCCAAACUGUAUCUGUUACCUGAUUUCAAAGAAUAUUCCACCUAGGAGAGACCCAGGUCCUGCAGACUUCCUCUGGACACUUUUGGCAGUCAUUGUUCCCAGCUGAUUCUGCAACAGAUGAAGGACGGAGGAUAGAAUCAUGAAUAGCAACAUCUUAAUUGCUGACUGGGUGUUGAUUCUAAGGAUACCCCCAAUAAACAUCUUUCGUGCUAAAGCCCAUUCCAGAAUUUACUUCCCAGCUAUCUUUGAUGUUCAUAUUGUCAGAGGUGGUGGCCGCUGAAACAGGCAAAGACAUGGAGCAUAUCUUGGGUCCAGGACCUUGGGAGUCCAGAGGAAGGUCUUUUUACCAUCAGCAUUCUCUACUGUGUUCAAUGACUGUCAGCCAAAGAUGGCCAGGUUCUCUACUGUGAUGGUGAAUUUUAUGUGUCAAUUUGACUGGACCAUGGGAUGCCCAGCUUUCCUUCAGAAAGAAAUGCAUUCAAAGAACCUACAUUCACAACAUAAAGAAAUAAAGCCUGCACCUACAGAUCUACACACAUGCCCAUGCACAUGCAGGAAGUGUUCAUCUAAGACUGGACCUUUUAGAAGAAAGCUGGCAUACAUUCGUGAAGGCAUGGGCUUCCAGGCAUGUCAUCUUCACUCACGAAGCACACACAAGACCGCCAAGCAUUAAGAUUCUCCUGUGGAGCCAGGCUACAAUCCUUUAAAUGAAGACAGACAGCUAGGUGGCUGCAGCCCAGCGCUACACCUCACCCCUCCCUCAGUGUCAUGCAGAAAAAAUGUAUUCAGAACUCAGAAGUGAAGUUGUGCAAAUCCAUCAUUGACACUAGCUUCAAGGUUACCUCGGGGGAGCAGAAUGUACCCCUGCCAGAGAGCUGGAUAGAUGAUGAUGGGGACAGAAAUUCUGGGGGAGUUGUAAAUGGCAGCCACUGCCUCUAUAGGAAACCCAAAGGGAACACAGCAGAAGAGGAGGUGGUGGAGGAGCCACUGCCCUCUCGAAGGGUUCAAUGUCAUUCUGCAGACACAACCAAAUAACUUUUUCUUCCCUGCUGCUCCUCCAUUUG